GGGGAUUUAGCCCAGUGGUAGAGCGUUUGCCUAGCAAGCGCAAGGCCCUGGGUUCAGUCCCCAGCUCCG
rnacentral:tRNA from 1 species